rnacentral:rRNA from 1 species
GAUGAACGCUGGCGGCGUGCCUAAUACAUGCAAGUCGAGCGAACAGAUGAGGAGCUUGCUCCUCUGACGUUAGCGGCGGACGGGUGAGUAACACGUGGAUAACCUACCUAUAAGACUGGGAUAACUUCGGGAAACCGGAGCUAAUACCGGAUAAUAUAUUGAACCGCAUGGUUCAAUAGUGAAAGACGGUUUUGCUAUCGGUUAUAGAUGGGUUCACGGCCUCUUAGCUAGUUGGUAAGGUAACGGCUUACCAACGCGACGACGGGUAGCCGACCUGAGAGGGUGACGGGCCACACUGGGACUGAGACACGGCCCAGACUCCUACGGGAGGCAGCAGUGGGGAAUAUUGCACAAUGGGCGAAAGCCUGAUGCAGCGACGCCGCGUGAGGGAGGACGGCCUUCGGGUUGUAAACCUCUUUCAGCACGGAAGAAGCGAAAGUGACGGUACGUGCAGAAGAAGCGCCGGCUAACUACGUG